rnacentral:rRNA from 1 species
AGCUCCAAUAGCGUAUAUUAAAGUUGUUGCGGUUAAAAAGCUCGUAGUUGGAUUUCUGUCGGGAGCACUUGGUCCACCCUAGUGGUCGGUACUCGAGCAACUCCGGACAUAUUUCUGAAAGUCGUGCUAGCACUUAGUUGUGCGGCAAAGAAUUUCAGGACAUUUACUUUGAGGAAAUAAGAGUGUUCCAAGCAGGUUAUUGCCGUGAAUACGUUAGCAUGGAAUAAUAGCAUCGGAUUUCAUUCCAAAGCUGUUGGUUUCUUGGGGUGAGAUGAAGGUAAAUAGGGACAGUUGGGGGCAUUCGUAUUUAACUGUCAGAGGUGAAAUUCUUGGAUUUGUUGAAGACGGACUACUGCGAAAGCAUCUGCCAAAGAUGUUCUCA